AUGAGUUUGUUUUUUUGCUAAGUUUCAUUAAAAUAUAUCAGUCAGCAUAUUUUCUGCAAAAUUUGAGAUGUAAUGAUUGCUGAGAUCAAAUUAUGCUGUUUUCGAAGGUCAAACCAUGCCGAAGUAUAAAAGAUUACCGUAGUAUAAUAUUCCUUCAUUUACUUUAGAACGAAAUACAAACCAACAACUAAGAUGCAAGCCAGUCACAUUCUCAUAGCUUUAGCAGUCUUCUGCGUCUUGGCACCAUCGUGCAUAGCUGAUUCAGAUGCCUCUGUCGUACUGACCAUGUCUGUGAAGAAAGAUCUUUUCCAAACCUAUUUCUCUGACGCGCAAUCCAUCUUGAAGGAUUUUUCUGAAAUCGUGAAGAAGUUACGAAAUCUCAGAGCACGUACUGGAUGAAAAGAUAAAAUAGACCUCAAGAUUUAAGGGAUUCAAACGUUUCAGAUUUGUAUCUGAUUGUGUUUCAAUAAAGACUUUUUCAUCAGC